GAUGAACGCUGGCGGCGCGCCUAAUACAUGCAAGUCGAGCGAACAGACGAGGAGCUUGCUCCUCUGACGUUAGCGGCGGACGGGUGAGUAACACGUGGAUAACCUACCUAUAAGACUGGGAUAACUUCGGGAAACCGGAGCUAAUACCGGAUAAUAUAUUGAACCGCAUGGUUCAAUAGUGAAAGACGGUUUUGCUGUCACUUAUAGAUGGAUCCGCGCCGCAUUAGCUAGUUGGUAGGGUAACGGCUUACCAAGGCAACGAUGCGUAGCCGACCUGAGAGGGUGAUCGGCCACACUGGAACUGAGACACGGUCCAGACUCCUACGGGGGGCAGCAGUAGGGAAUCUUCCGCAAUGGGCGAAAGCCUGACGGAGCAACGCCGCGUGAGUGAUGAAGGUCUUCGGAUCGUAAAACUCUGUUAUUAGGGAAGAACAAAUGUGUAAGUAACUAUGCACGUCUUGACGGUACCUAAUCAGAAAGCCACGGCUAACUACGUG
rnacentral:rRNA from 1 species